rnacentral:rRNA from 1 species
AGAGGUUUUGAUCCUGGCUCAGGAUGAACGCUGGCGGCGUGCCUAACACAUGCAAGUCGAACGGACUUACACAGAAGCAGGAGAUGCUUGCAUUGACUAACGGAAGUGUAAGUUAGUGGCGGACGGGUGAGUAACGCGUGGGCAACCUGCCCCAUACCGGGGGAUAACACCUGGAAACAGGUGCUAAAACCGCAUAAGCGCACAGCUUCGCAUGAAGGUGUGUGAAAAACUCCGGUGGUAUGGGAUGGGCCCGCGUCUGAUUAGCUGGUUGGCGGGGUAACGGCCCACCAAGGCGACGAUCAGUAGCCGGCCUGAGAGGGUGGACGGCCACAUUGGGACUGAGACACGGCCCAAACUCCUACGGGAGGCAGCAGUGGGGGAUAUUGGACAAUGGGGGAAACCCUGAUCCAGCGACGCCGCGUGAGUGAAGAAGUAUUUCGGUACGUAAAGCUCUAUCAGCAGGAAAGAAAAUGACGGUACCUGACUAAGAAGCCCCGGCUAACUACGUG